ACAUUUAAAACAUGAAAAGAAAAUAAGUACGAUCGAAUUUCAAACAUGUUUUUACUUCUUUUCAUAUUUUACAAGCGUGUUAGCGAAAAUAUUGCAUCUGAUGUCAACACUAUGAGAAAUAUUUCCAUUUAAGACUGAUUAAGAAACAAACAAACAUUCCUUAUACCGUAACACAUAAUUAGAUAAGAGUCUAAAGAGACUUUAAAACCUAAUCUAUCAUGUGACAUAACAAUGUAAUAAAAAUGUCAUAUUAUAGCUCAUCUAACAUUAGUCCGAAUUGCAAUGGAUCCGUCUCAUCAGGUCAUAAAUCCCCCGCUGUCACGACGUAGUGACCUUAAAUUGGAUUAGUGCGAGAGAACAUACAGGCUCUGAUUAAGGACUUUAUUCAGGUAUGUCGGUUCAUAAAGACGCCUGAUGUCGGGACGGUGAAGGCACGUCUACAAGAUAAUGUGGUGUAAACAGAUGGUAAACGUAAUUUCCGGACACAGAUGCGACUUGCAAGGGUCAAAAUCUUUAUAUUAUGAUCUCUAUGUGCAUGCGAAUAUCUUCAGCCGACUUGUAAAAUGUCCAAACAGCUCCAACUGCUACCUAAGAUGAUAACACGGACGAUAAAGGAAUGAAGGGUAUGUCUGCUUCACUACGAUUGACAAAACUUGCACAUCUACUUUCAAGCUGGUGAAAGCACGACUUCAAGAUGUAAACUAAAAAAGAAGAUGGUAAUUUCCGGCCACAAGUGUCAAAAUCUUAAAAUUAGGGUCGAAGAGAAAUAUACGUCUCCUUA
rnacentral:lncRNA from 1 species